AUACGAACUGCGCAAACGUUAUUCGGAAUCACUGGGCUUAAAGAGUCCGUAGGCGGCUUUGUAGGUGAGGUGUGAAAUCCCACGGCUCAACCGUGGAAUUGCGCUUCAAACCACAUCGCUAGAGGGAGAUAGAGGAGAGCGGAACUCACGGUGGAGCGGUGAAAUGCGUUGAUAUCGUGAGGAACACCGGUGGCGAAAGCGGCUCUCUGGGUCUCUUCUGACGCUGAGGGACGAAAGCUAGGGGAGCGAACGGGAUUAGAAACCCCAGUAGUCC
rnacentral:rRNA from 1 species